rnacentral:rRNA from 1 species
GACGAACGUUGGCGGCGUGCUUAAUACAUGCAAGUCAACUGAAGCAGUGGUAGCAAUAUCGCUGUGGAGGUGGCGCACGGGUGAGUAACACGUAGGUAAUCUGCCUUCAGGUCUGGCAUAACUCCGGGAAACCGGGGCUAAUAGCAGAUGAUGCAGCGGCUCGACAUCGAGACAGUUGUUAAAGCUAUGGCGCCUGAAGAUGAGCCUGCGCCUGAUUAGCUAGUUGGCGGGGUAACGGCCCACCAAGGCAACGAUCAGUAGCUGGUCUGAGAGGAUGAUCAGCCUCACUGGAACUGAGACACGGUCCAGACUCCUACGGGAGGCAGCAGUAAGGAAUAUUGCUCAAUGGGAGAAAUCCUGAAGCAGCAACGCCGCGUGAGGGACGAAGGGCUUUUGCUUGUAAACCUCUGUAGUGAGAGAAAAAAAUCCCAAUCUUUGGGACAUGAUGGUAUCUCAAAAGUAAGCCCCGGCUAACUACGUG